rnacentral:tRNA from 1 species
GAGGGUAUAGCUCAGUGGUAGAGUGUGUGCUUAGCAUGCACGAGGUCCUGGGUUCAAUCCCUAGUACCUCCA